rnacentral:misc_RNA from 1 species
AGCCAUAUCUUUUUCUUUCUAAUGAUCAGUGAAAGGAGUCUAUAAGUAGGACAAAUAGGCCCUUCACUGUGUGAUGGCUACUGCUUAUUCUUUUUAGGUGCUGCUUUAAGGUAAGGGCUUAAGAGGAUAGCAAAUUACCAAUGAGUUGCUUGGUCUGCAAUUCUCAAUAAACUGAAUACUGAUGACUUGUAGCAAAAAGGGCAGCUGACUAAGGCUUUAUUUUCCAAUGUAUGCAUCAUAUGUUGUAGGUAUAGUGUGUCUUGUUCAUGCUUAUUCUUAUAUCAUGAGGUGGCUUGGGCCAUAUGAAAUGGGUAUGUUUGGACUGGAUUCUUCAGAGAUUUUUGGUAGUAGAAAAGAUGUUCAAAUUCUUUGGAUUUUUUUGGGUUAUUUUGGAGCAGUUUGGAUGGAGAUGAAUGCUUGCAUUUUCAAACACCAGACUAUUGUUUA